AAUAGUUUAAGAGAGCUUCCUUCAGCCCACUCAUGGACGGGUAAAGGGUUUGAAUUAGCUGCUGACUCAUUCAUUCAAACACAAUAGAUCAAACAUAAUGAUAUGCUAUUGUGAAUGUGUGAAUGAUGCAGGAGCUAAAUUUCUUCCUUUUUUGUCUGUGCUUGGACUGAAGGGAGCUCCCUUUUACUGUUUA